rfam:Bombyx mori DNA, contig: Bm_scaf39076_contig84286, strain: p50T/Dazao, build 2, whole genome shotgun sequence.
UUAACUCAAAUAUGUAUGGAGUUGGAAUGUUUACCCACGUUUGCUGCUAGGGGCCCUGUUCUAACUCCACACAAAUGUGAGUUA